GUGCUUUCUUAGGCAGCACAUAUACCAAAAUUAGAACAAUACAGAGAGAUUAGCAUGUUCCUUGAAUAAGGAUGACAUGCAAAUUCAUGAAGCAUUCCAUAUUCAU
ensembl:snRNA U6 U6 spliceosomal RNA